CCUACGGGUGGCAGCAGUGGGGGAUAUUGCACAAUGGGGGGAACCCUGAUGCAGCGACGCCGCGUGGGUGAAGAAGAGCCGCGGCGCGUAAAGCCCUGUCAGCAGGGAAGAAAAGGACGGUACCUGAAGAAGAAGCCCCGGCGAACUACGUGCCAGCAGCCGCGGUAAUACGUCGGGGGCAAGCGUUAUCCGGAUUGACUGGGGGGAAAGGGGGCGCAGACGGCGAGGCAAGCCAGGAGUGAAAGCCCGGGGCCCACCCCCGGGACUGCUCUUGGAACGGCGUGGCUGGAGUGCAGGAGGGGCCGGCUGACUUCCUAUUGUAGCUGUGACAUGCGUAGAUCUUAGGAGGCACACCAGUGGCGACGGCGGUCUGCUGGACAGCACCUGACGCUGCGGCGCGACAGCGUGGGGAGCAAACAGGAUUAGCUACCCUUGUAGUC
rnacentral:rRNA from 1 species